rnacentral:rRNA from 1 species
CCCGGGCCUUGUACACACCGCCCGUCACACCACGAAAGUUAAUUGCACCAGAAGUCGCUAUACCAACCGUAAGGAGGAAGGCGCCCAAGGUUUGAUUAAUGAUUGGGGUG